rnacentral:lncRNA from 1 species
GUUAGUUCCUGGAUGAAGUACAGCUCUGAAGUCAAGUGGAUCCUAUACAAACCAGAAAGACAAAGGAAUAUGAGGAGACCUCAUCAGGAUGGAAAUCACAAUUUUAAGGCAGAUACAUGUUUUUGGAAGAUCAACCUUAUGCAAUAUUGAGUUCAUGAAAAUGAGGAGGUCUAAAAGUAGGGUGACCAACCAUCCUGGUUUGACAAAGACUGAUAGAUAUUUCCUGGGGUGCAGGACCUUCAGUGCUAAGACUGGGGAAGUUUCAGAAAAUGCACUGAUAGUGGAAAUCUAAAGUAUACUCAGAAAUAUGUUGAUCGUCUUAUCUAAAAGAUGGUGACAGAUUGUG